rnacentral:rRNA from 1 species
UAGUCCACGCCGUAAACGAUGGGCGCUAGGUGUGGGAGGUCAUCGACUCCUUCCGUGCCGCAGCUAACGCAUUAAGCGCCCCGCCUGGGGAGUACGGCCGCAAGGCUAAAACUCAAAGGAAUUGACGGGGGCCCGCACAAGCGGCGGAGCAUGUUGCUUAAUUCGACGCGACGCGAAGAACCUUACCAGGGCUUGACAUGUAGGGAAAAGCCGUGGAGACACGGUGUCCGCAAGGGCCCUACAC